UCCUCUCAUGUUACAUAAUUUCUUUUUUUUCCAAUUCUAUUUAUUUUCAGCUGGAAAAAAAUGAAUCUGGGAAAGACGAUGAGAACAAGAUUUCAGAAAGCUGUGAGAAAAUAACCAUGAUAUCAUCAUGCCUUUUCUGGAUUAAGGCUAUGCUAAUUUCAACUAGUUAUGGUAGUGGGAGAGGAAGCUCCAUGUCUGAGAGAUUACAGCCUGUUCUCCAUCAACGUGUAACCCCAGGUUUUAAGGUCAAGAAAAACGAAAGUCAAGGAUGUUAUUAUGUUCUUCUAAGUCUUUCUCUUUGGCAAAGAAUAAUGUCUUUCACAGUUGCCACUGGCAGGAAGGAGGGUCCAUUGCAGAGUAAAGAGAAAAAUUCCAACAGGUAAUAUUUUAAUAUCUUGCUUCACACUUGGCCAGUAGAAAACUUUCCCCCUUGUUGCCCUUUAAGACUGUGUUUGCGUAUAUCCUCAAAGCUACUAAAA
rnacentral:lncRNA from 1 species